GGGUUUUACAGUCUCCCGUAAACAGGAAGUGUUUCAGUCUGUGUAUCUACUGCUACGUGAUACCCGGUAGGCCUCUCUCUGGGUCUUCAGAACAGCUCUCUCCCCGCUUCUGCUAUCUUGCUGACGCACGCUGAUGACGUAAGCCGCCUUGCGCCUUGGGACUGGGCCUGAGAAGGGAGGAGUUAUUCAGGCCUCCGCCAGCUUCUAGGCCCUGGGGAUGGUCUUUCACCUCCCUCUUUCUGAUCUCUUUUUCAUGCUCCUCCUUGCUCCAAAGAAAAGCCGGAUGGCAAAAGAGCCCAGAACCUAUUGGAACUGACAAAAUCAAGUCACGGCGCCUACAAAGAUGAGGGGCAGAUUCUGGCUGCCUUUUAAUUUCGUCCUUCACCUGAUAUCUGUGCCAGAGAAUGGAACUUGGGGCGGCCCCUGUCCAGUUCAAACCAGCUGAGACCACCAACCCUCUGAAUGCACCUGCAUGGAUGUCGGAAAAGUGACACUUGCCAUCAGAGGGCCAAAACUCCACCCUCAGAUCAUGUUAACACUGCUAUUUUCUGACCAUGUGUCCUAAGAAGAGCCGUGAGCCCAGACUGCACUUGCUCAGAUCACCAGUUACCUCACUUCUCCCCACCCUCAAUCACCUUUCCCCACCUUAGACCAUCCUAAUUCUUUACUCCAUAAAUAUCCCUAAGCAUUAUCCUUGAGGAGGUAGAUUUGAGAGCUGUUCUCCCAUCUCCUGGCUGGGUUGCCCUGUGAGUAAAUCUUUUCUCUUUUGCAAAACCCAUUGUCACCAUGACUGGCUUACUGUGUGCAGGCAGAAUGAACCUGGUUUGGUGUCAUAUCUACGAGCUCCCAGACAAUGCCAGUCCCACUGGACUAAGGGUCUCACUUUGAGUAACAAGUUCUUAAAAGUCUCCUGGAUCAAGUUCUUCUGCCCUGACCGUCUUUUUCAUAAUAGUCUAGAGCAAGACUUCACACACAAGAAAUGUUGGACUGUCUCAUAGGCAGAAGGGUUUGUGGGAAAAGCAGUGAGUCCAUUUGAAAGCUACAAAAGUAAAGUGAGCUCUCAUCAUGUCACCAAUAAGUGUUCUGUUUUUAAUUUUCAGAUAAAAAUCAUAAUAAAGGAAAUAAUGGAAGAGGAGACUUAUGUUACUGGGGACAUCUAACAUAAUUAUUUUCCUGAUUCAGUGGCAUGGUUCAGUCUUCCAGGAGUUCUGCUACAGAGAAGAGAGUAACCCCCAUCCAUCAUGGCCAAAGCACCCAGUCAGGCUCCGCUCUGGAUCCAGCCCGACAAAUGCAACCCUUGAAUAGGGUUUGUGCAAGCAAACUGGAUGACGACCGAAGAAACCCUGUCGCUUCUGAGAAGACACCCAAUCCAAGAAUAUACAGUCGAAUGUAAUUUGGAAUUUACGAGUCUUAUCACAUUCUCAUUCUGCUUGAGCAAUUCAAGAUAUAAGAAAAACAGACUGUCUACAUUUCUUCAGAGUUCCUCCAACUAUUGGCUUAAAAUUCCUGAAAUUAAAAUUAUAGUUCUUUGACAUCGCUUCUGUCUAAUCAUUGCUGAUACCUGGAAAACACCAAAUGGCUUACUUACACAGUGUCCCACUCUGAAAUUUCUCACAUAAAGGAUUGUCUUACACAGAAAUACUGACCAUUUUGACAAGGGAAUGGCCCUAGAAUUGGGCCAGAGCUAAAAAUAAGCAGAAUAAACAAUUUUGAUAUUCUUCUUCAAUGGUCAUAAAUCUAGUUAGCAUGUUAUCAUUUACAUAUUAUGAUUUUGUUCAUGAUAGUUGUAGUAGAAUGGCCUAAAGAAAUCAAGAUCUGUUUUAUCUUCUACAUUACUUUAGUUACUGUAAGACUGAUAACUCACAUUGUCGUUUACCAAGUAUUUCCAUUUGUUCCUUGGAAUAAUCCUGUGAAGUGGGUAUUUUUUAUCACUAGUUUCAUAUAAUGAAUAUAUUACUGUUAAUGUCAAUACAUUCUAUUUAUCCAGCUCACUUAUUCUAGUAUUCUCUCUGCAGUGAUUCUUUAAUCUCAUUGAGAAGCCCCCAUGCCCAAUACACGCCUCCUAUCUUCAUACACGCCUCCUAUCUUCAUUUCCCUCCUUCCCCAACUCACACCCUUGAAAACAUUCUUAUCUCUCUUGUUUCUUUUUCUGUUGUCCUUGACUGGCAAAUUUGGAGGCAUGGAUGUACCCAACUCUUUGCCAUUUGGGGCUACCCCCAACUAGCCAAAUACUGCUAGAGAAACUCUCCUGAAUGAUUUCACUCUAAGUUCUAUGAACUUCAAAUGGGCAUUUAAGGAUACCUGGCAGUCCUACUAUGUUUUCCUAAUAAAUUUCAUUUUCCUCUUUCAAAAUUGUUAUUUAUUCUCCCGUCUCCUCCAACCUCCCAUAUCCCCACCUCCACACUCACUCUCUGCUGCUGAUGACCUCACUUCAUACUUUAUUGAAAAAAAUAGAAGCCUGCAGAGGAGCAACACUUUCAUACUGCUCCCACUGUAUCUAAAAAUCUCUAAGUUUCUGUGCCUGUCUUAGUCAGCUUGGGCUGCCAUAACAAAAUACCAUAAAAUGAGUGGCUUAAACAACAGAAAUUUUUCAUCUCAUAUUUUGAAGACUCAAAAUGUUGGCAUCGUUGGUACCUGGUGAGGGCUCUCUUCCUGGCUUGCAGACAGCUGCCUGCUGGCUGGGUCCUCACAUUGUCUUUUCUUGGUGCAUGCAUGAGGGAGAGAGUGCUAGUGUCUCUUCCUCUUCUUAUAAAGACACCAGCCCUAUCAAAUUAAGGGGUAGCUCUAUGACCUCAUUUAAAUAGAAUUAUCUCCCUAAAGACCUUAUCUUCUAAUAUAGUCACAUUUGAGACUGUGGCUUCAACAUGAAUUUUGGGGAGACAGAAUUCAGUCCUUCAGAGUGCCUGUGUUUUUCAUCUUACCAUAUGUUACAACAGAAAAAAAUGUCCCUGCUCUCAUCAAAAAUCAGUAACCCCCAGUAUGUUCUGGCUCCUGCCCGUCUCACUUUCUUAACAUUACUGACCCCCUCAUCUCUUCCUUCUCUUACAUAACUAGGGUUAUCCUUCUCACAAGCACACAAACACGCUCCUCCCUUGACUCCAUAAUCCCUCUCCAUCUCCCAACUCAUUUUUCUACCCCCUGUAAGCACCACUUCUCUAACAAAUUAUCUAAAAUUACUGCUUCCCCUUCCUCAACAAUCUAUUCCCUCAUCAGAAGACUUAAAACUGGCUAAUGUAGCUUCUGGGACUCAGAAAAUGAAAGCCCAAAAUAUGACACUUCAGACUUCAAACUGAGAGCACAUGGAGAGCAGCAAAUGCAGAGAAGGACUUUCCCCAAAGGUCCCUCCCUACCUAAACACAGGAUUCUCCUAAGAUACUCAAUCAUUGUCAAUCGCUUCCCCAGGGUAUCUCAAUGACUGGGAGAAGACUGAAGCCUAUCCCAGGAAAAGAAGACUAGAAUUGAUGACACACCAGGAGUCCAGAUGGGCUUUGUCUCAGACUACCAUCUGUUCUUCAGGCCCAUUCAUCUUCCCUAAAACUCAUUUACUCCUCCUCUAAAUUGUCUGCAUCCCACCCUUCCCCCUCCCUGUGAAGAAGGGUAUAUAAGCUUCUAAAUCCCAUUGGGUCAUUGGACACUCACCUUCCUGGAAUGCACGCAUACACAUAAUAUAUGUGUUAGCCUUUUCUCUCGUUAAGUGAUCUGUUAGUUUAUUUCUCAGACUCAAAUAUCAGACAUGCAGAGUGGAAAGAAAGGGCUCUCUCACCCAACAUGGCUCAUCUCAAGCUCAUCAAAAGCCCCCAUGUUCCAAAUUCAAUGGACGCCUCACUUGUCUUUUUUUUUUUUUUUUUUUUUUUUGAGACAGAAUCCUGCUCUGUCACCCAGGCUGGAGUGCAGUGGCAUGAUAUCGGCUCACUGCAACCUCCACCUCCCAGGUUUAUGCGAUUCUCCUGCCUCAGCCUCCCGAGUAACUGGGAUUACAGGUGCGCCACCGUGCUCAGCUAAUUUUUUUAUUUUUAGUAGAGACAGGGUUUCACCAUGUUGCCCAGGCUGGUCUUGAACUCCUGACCUCAAGUGAUCCACCGGCCUCAGCCUCCCAAAGGGCUGGGAUUACAGAGGUGAGCCACUGUACUGGGCCGCACUUAUCUUACUUGAUCUUUCAAGAACACCUGACCCAGUCAACUGCUCCUCUUCCCUGAAAACCACAUCACACUCUCCUGGUUUUCUUUCUGCAUCCCUGGCUGCUCCCUCUGCCUCUCCUUUGCUGGCUUCUGCUUCUCUUUCAAGCCUCUAAAUGUGGGAAUACCCUAGAACUUGCUCCUAGAUCCCCUUUUCUUCUCCACCUAUCUCCAGAGCUAAGUGAGCUCAUUCUACUCUCUGGCUUUGAGUCCUAUCUCUCUGGCGAUGACACCCAGAUUGAUAUGUGCAGUUCUGACCUCUCCCUUGAGCUCCAGACUCAUUUAUAUGGUCGAAAUGCCCAUCUGACAUUUCCAAUUGGACGUCUAAUAGUCUUGUCAAAUGUAGCAUAUCCAAAACAUAACCUUUGACUUCCCUCUUUUCCAGUCUUCCCCAUCUCUAUGGAUGGUAAUGAACUGCUCAAGCCAAACAUUUAUCAUUCGGAUUCCUGUCCUUCUCUUCUCUCCUAUACCCGGGCUUUUGACGAUUCAGCCGUAAAUCCAUCUACUUCUCUUUAUCGGUACUUCUAUUGCCUCAUUCAAGGCACAUCAGCUCUUGUCUGGAUGGAAGCCAUGGCCCCAUAAGUAGUCUUUCUGCUUCAAUUGCCUGACUGCCACACAUUCUCUAUGCAGCUAUCAGAGUACUCUUUUAAAAACUUAAAUCAUACUUGUCAUACAUGACAUAUUGUCAUGCCCUUGCUCAGAACCCUUCUGAGGCUUCACUUAUUAUUAGAAUAAAACUCAUCCUCACCAAGGCUUGCAUCCUACAACAUAACCUGACUUAGUAGGUCUAUUUCCUCCUUUGCUCUCUGUAUUGGUCCAUUUACAUUGCUGUAAAUAAAUGCCUGAGACUGGGUAGUUCAUCAGGAAAAGAGGUUUAUUUGGCUCACAGUUCUGCAGGCUGUACACAAAGCAUCGUGCCAGCAUCUGCUUCUGGUGAGGGAUUCAGGAAGCUUAUAAUCAUGGCGGGAUGUAAAGGAGAGCCAGCACAUCACAUGGAUAGAGAGAGAGAGAGAGGAGACAGUGCCAGGCUUUUUGAAACAACCAGAUCUUGUGUGAACUCAGAGAAUAAGAACUCACUCAUUACUGCCGAGACAUUCAUGAGGGAUCUGCCCCCAUGACCCAAACACCUCUCACUAGGCCCACUUCUAACACUGAAGCUCACAUUUCAACAUGAGAUUUGGAGGGGACAACCAUCCAAACCCUAUCACCCUCCAUGAUCCAUUCUUUCUGCUUCUCAAAUAUGCCAUGUUUAGGGCUGCUGUUCCUCUGCCUUGAGCGUUCCUGUUAGUGCUUCAGGUCUUAACUCGAAUGUCAACCCCUCAGAGUGACUUUUGCUACUCCCUAUGGAAUGCUCACCUCCCACCCCCGCCAUCAGCAUUUAUUUCGACUUCUUUCCUACCACUUAGCACAGUGAGCUCCAGGAGGGCAGGCUUUUGUCUGGCAUGCUCCCUGCACAUUCUCCAGCACCAAGCACAGACCUGGCACACAAUGAAUGUUCACUGAAAGAAUGAAGUUGAUCUCAGACUCUCCACCCAGCUCCAGGCUGCCAAAAUAAGCCCCUAAUUGCCUUCCCUGCUUCUCCUUUUGUUCCUGCCCCAUCUGUCUCCUAGGGAGAAUUGUCUCAGCUAGACCAGUCCUGGGCUCUUCACACAUCAGAGUUAGAGAGUUGACAGGGAAUUAAUAGAAGAUAGAACCUGAAAGGCUUAGGAGGGGUAAGACUUGGAGAAAUCUGUUGUCAGUCAAAAAUAAUAAAGUACAGAGGUGUAUGUGAGGAGGUAGGGGAGGGAGUACAGGAAGGGGAAAGAAAUCUAUAUAGUCCAGGUGUAAGUGAGAAAGUUCUUUCAGCAUUUGUCAAACUUGAGUUUGGGAGAGGGUGUGGGAAAUAAAUAACUGAGAAGAGUAAAUGGGAUUGCAGCAUAGAUGAGGAUUCUGAAUUAGGGCCACUCUGUCACCCAGGCUGGAGUACAGUAGUGCGAUCAAAGCUCACUGCAGCCUGGAGCUCCUGGUCUCAAGCAAUCCUCCCACCUCAGCCUUCCAAGUAGCUGGGACUACAGGCAUGUGCCACCAAACUCAGCUAAUUUUUUUUUGCAUUUUUUUGCAG
rnacentral:lncRNA from 1 species